ensembl:lncRNA
CUCAGAAGGUGGAGCCGACCCACAGAUAAAGGUUCAAGAAAAACCAGGAAGAGGGAGAGAGAGUGCUGGAAGGAUCUAUGAACAAUAGAGAAAGAGACAAUAGAGAUUGGCUGGAUUUACUGUGUAUGAGCUGGAUUGUUUUGGACUUACCUGUUGGCGUUUGGACCUGGACCUGCCGAGAACCCGAUUUGAGUACCGAACCCUGCUAUCCUUGACCUCGCCUAUGGCCUGGGUGGACCAGGACGGAGAAACAAACACACAGAGAUAAGGAGGCGGUUGCCUUGUGGGAUCAGACGCCGUCAAAUCACAGAUCAGGAAGAGGCUGUCGAGCAGGAAGAGGAAGACCGGGCAGGGAGUGUGUGUGUGUGUGUGUGUGUGUGUGUGUGUGUGACUAUUCACUCUGGUAAUCAUGAAGAGACACACCUAUUGAUAAGCUGCUGUCCUUGUCCACUGACAAUGAACAUCUGGCCUGACCUAGUAUCCCCCAGCUAAGUGAACAGGGCUGAAUGAUAAUCAUGUUUUACCAGCCUCCCCACCCACAUUAACCUUUAUGAACAGGUGUUUGUACAGACCUCUGUUUGUUUGUCUACCCUUCUGCAUUGUCGCUAACAUUGUUCUACGAGGUCUAACUGCUGCCUGGGGGCAUUUUUUAGUACGUACUGUGACUAUUAAACUCUCAUACUUAGUGAGGAUGAAUGGAAUUGUAGUACUUAAAUAGGAUUAUACAAGUAAAGAGGAAAUAGCUGUAAAAUAUGAUCUUGCCUGUUGUUUUGCAUGGUGCAGCAUGUUGACAGAAUGGGCCAGAACAGGAGCACCUGUAACAGGAGCACCUGUAACUUGGCAGCCGUGGAGGAGAGGUUUAAAAGAGGAUGGUCUGGAUGUGCCUGUCCUGGUUCUGCCAGCCUAACAGUGACGAACAGCUACAUUAAUCAACCCUGUCCAGCAGACAAGGGGUGAGUCCAAAAUGAACACUUCACCAAAUUUAGCCGCUACUGAAAGGUUGCUUCCUCCUCCCCAGGAAUACCCUGACCCACUUCUCUCCCUCCAUAUGUUUCCCCCUGCAAUCUCCCUCUCCAAUCUCUACCCCUGUUUCUUUAUUCAAGAUAAUCUUCCCUUUGUUGAUAUUAAGGUUCACUUCCCUGAACAGUUACUAUGGGAAAAUAUGAAGUUGGUUUUGGCAGACUGAAGCACUAUAUGGUAUUGUUAUGCUGAUGACUUUGUGGUUGGAUUGAUUACACAAUCUAGGCUACUUUGCAUUGUUGCUUGUCAUAUCGAAAUAAUAGAGACUACAUUGUCAGGGUCAAAAUACUUAACCUUUAAACAAGUGUAUAGAAGAAGAGGAUCUGAUGCACCAAUAGGAUGCCAUUUAGGGUGUAAACACAUUGGGUAGGUUUGGUGCUGCAGAGCCUGGCUCCAGAGUGAUGGGCCUGAUUGUUCUGGGGAGAUAAGACUCAGGCUUCUCUGAUGUAGACAGCUUCCUUUCACACAAAGACACAAAGAAGUGGACUGCAUUGAUUUAGUAUCGAUUCAAGGACCCAGACUUUGGAGAUCUCUCCAGUUAGUUCUCGUCUAGCUGGGAGUGUGUUGAAGGAAGCAGAUUAUAUUGUGAGAGAGUGAGACAGCCAGAUAACACAGUUAGAAAGCAAUAGAGAAGAAUUAUAUUAUUGUGGAGCUAGGAUUUUCUUGCCCAUCUAAAGGCUCCUGGUAGCGUCCCAAUGGCCAAUGAGAUGUAAUUUUGUCACGGUAGAAUGAGCACCUGUCUGUUGAGCCUACAGGCUGCUGGUGGCCCGUUAGUUAUGGUGAGAGAGAGUAUGGCCAUUUAUCAGCUUGGGCGAUUUCUUAAAUGAGCACAUAUUGGGGCAGGUGACAGAGCAGCACGAGAGGAGAUUAGGCCUGUAAAUCGGCUGUAGCCAGAGAGCCGAAGUGACAGCAGGCAUCUCCCCUGGAUCUAAUAGGAGCUAGGCUGUCGGUCUGUGGGCUCCUACUGCACAGGGUCUGUUCCACUAUUCACAGUCAAUUCCGGGGGCACUGGAGAGCAAGGUGCUGGUAUCACGUUUUGAGGUAUGACCCAGGUGCAGACAGUGUUGAACAAUUCAAAAGCUUAUUAUUUAAACUGGGGCAGGCAAAUGACAGGUCAAGGCAGGCAGGGGUCAAUAAUCCAGAAAGGGUGUAAGGCACCGGAACAGUAGGCAGGCUCAGGGUCAGGUCAGGCAGAGGUCAGUAAUCCAGAGUAGUGGGGCAAAGGUACAGGACGACAGGCAGGCUCACGGUCAGGGCAGGCUGAACCGAGAAAAUAGAAAACAGGAGCAAGUACAGGCGGGAGCAGGGAAACAAAACGCUGGUAGAUUCUACAAACUAAAACGAAUUGGCAACAGACAAACAGAACACAUGUAUAAAUACACAGGGGAUAAUGGGGAAGAUGGGCGACAUCUGGAGGGGCGGGGGGAGACUAGCACAAAGACAGGUGAAACAGAUCAGGGCGUGAGAGCUGGAGUACCUACGGUAUCCACGAUAGGGAAAACUGGGGACAGAAGGAAGGGAGUUGUCGCUGUUGUAAUAAUGGCAUGCAUGAAGGGGCCCUGGCAGAAUUUUUGUCAUGGUUUCUAUUGCUAAAUCAGAACAAGGGAAACAGACAGUCCAUGACAAUGACCCAAAUGUAGAGACUUUAAUUCUGCACAAAUGUGAACUUGGAAUUCAAAAAACUGUGUAUCCCUAAAAACAAAUGCAAAAACAGGAACCUCAUUGUAUAAUGGAUGUUUUCAUAUUGCCAGAUUUGUGACUGUGUCUGUUUACAGAUGAUAAAUCCCACACCUGUAUUUUGAGUAUGACUGCAGUCAGCCUGUUAUUAAUUGCCGUAGGUUUUGCUAAAUGGGGUUACUUGAAGAACAGCACAGCCUUGGCCAUGCAGAGCAUGAGAGAUGUGACAAGGCCACUGAUGAAUUUAAAACAAUAGAGUCGACCAAGGAAAGAGGAUCAUAUAUUGAGUCAUACAGACAAGACAAGUAUGGGGGAUCAAUUAUAUUUGCCGCAGAUACAAAGGUUGAUGGAUUAUGGCUGUUCCCAAACAGUAAAUUAAAAUGCAGUAUAUUUACCUCUCCAAGUGCCUCUUCUGCAAAAACAUGUGAUUGGGGCAGUCAGCAGGAUGGAAUUAUAAGUGUCUUUGGCGGUUGGUUAAGACUCAUUAAAGAGUUCUAUAGUUGGGAUCCUACUGAGUCUGUGUGCUUCUGAAUAGCCCAGAAAAUAAAUAUUGUGUUUCACCCAUAAUUUUCUCUCUCCCAGGGAUUUAUAUUAAAGAGAAAGUGGGCGUGCGGCAAUCAGCUAAUGGCUAGGCUGGCCGCAAGCUGAAGGCUAUUAGCUGUGGUGUUGCACGGCAAUUAGCUUGUGAUUGCAAGAGACAGCUGAGACAUGGCUGGUUUUCUCUGUGGACGAUCUACUGUAGCGUUCCACUUAAUGGGAUGCUACUUAAAAUGUUGUCCUUUAUUUUUACGAGUAAAACUUUCCCAAACGCCAUAACAUGGACAAAAUGUGUAUUCCUUCACAGCUCAAAGGGACAUUUGCAGAUCUAUUUCACAAAACAGCUAUGAAUUGGCAGUAAUCAUUUAGAACUGAAAAAAACAUUCCCUGAUAAUAGUAUGCUGUUGACCUCCACUGGAUCAUCAUGACUCUAUCAUCCAUAUGGGCCCUUCAUGUUCACUACUCUCCAUUCUCCCCCUGCUCUCUCCUUCUCUAUGCCUCUGAACAUAACAUGUUCUCUGCCAUCGAGCUGUCACCACUCAACUGUAACCAUGAAACAUUGCAAUUUCUGCCUUUUAGAAACAUGUGCAAGCUGUUAAUUUUUCAGUUCUGCCCACAAAUCUUCCACAGGAUUGAGGUCAUGACUUUGUGAUGGCCACUCCAAUACCUUGACUUUGUUGUCCUCAAGACAUUUUGCCACAACUUUGGAAGUUUUCUUGGGGGCAUUGUCCAUUUGGAAGACCCAUUUGCAACCAAGCUUUAACUUCCUGACUGAUGUCUUAAGAUGUUUCUUCAAUAUAUCCACAGAAUAUUCCAUCCUCAUGAUGCCAUCUAUUUUGUGAAGUGCACCAGUCCCUCCUGCAGCAAAGCACCCCCACAACAUGAUGCUGCCACCCCCGUGCUUCACGGUUGUGAUGUUGUUCUUUGGCUUGCAAGCCUCCCCCUUCUUCCUCCAAACAUAACGAUGAUCAUUAUGGCCAAACAGUUCUAUUGUUGUUUCAUCAGACCAGAGGACAUUUCUCCAAAAAGUACAAUCUUUGUCCCCAUGUGCGGUUGCAAACCGUAGUCUGGCUUUUUUUAUGGCGGCUUUGGAGCAGUGGCUUCUUCCUUGCUGAGCGGCAUAUCAGGUUAUGUUAUGUUACUGGAUAUAGAUAUUUUUGUACCUGUUUCCUCCAGCAUCCUCACAAGGUCCUUUGCUGUUGUUCUGGUAAUGAUUUGCACUUUUCGCACCAAGGUACGUUGAUCUCUAGGACACAGAACGCAUCUCCUUCCUGAGGCUGCUUGGUCCCAUAAUGUUUAUACUUGCGUACUAUUGUUUUUACAGAUGAACGUGGUACCUUCAGGCGUUUGCAAAUUGCUCCCAAGGAUGAACCAGACUUUUGGAGGUCUACAAUUUUUUUUCUGAGGUGUUGGCUGAUUUCUUUUGAUUUUCUCAUGAUGUAGAGCAAAGAGUCACUUAGUUUGAAGAUUGGAUGUAUUUCAAGGUUUCAGGUACACCUCCAAUUGACUCAAAUGAUGGCUUUAGAAUCUUCUGAUAGGCUAAUUGACAUGACCUAAUUUUCUGGAAUUUUCCAAGCUGUUUAAAGGCACAGUCAACUUCGUGUAUGUGAAACAGUGAAUUAUAAGUGAAAUAAUGUGUCUGUAAACAAAUGUUGGAAAAAUGACUUGUGUCAUGCACAAAGUAGAUGUCCUAACCGACUUGCCAAAACUAUAGUUUGUGAACAAGAAAUUUGUGGAGUGGUUGAAAAACGAGUUUGUAGGUGAUCAAAUACUUAUUUUCCACCAUAAUUUGCAAAUAAAUUCAUUAAAAAAUCCUACAAUGUGAUUUUCUGGAAUUUUUUUCUU